UACAGCCAUAUCACAUUGAAACACUAGUUCUCAUAUGAUCACUGAAAUUAAACAACAUUGAGCCUGGUCAGUACCUAGAUGGGUCACUACUUGGGAAUACCAAUUGCUGCAAG